UGGGGAAUAUUGGACAAUGGGCGAAAGCCUGAUCCAGCCAUGCCGCGUGUGUGAAGAAGGUCUUCGGAUUGUAAAGCUCUUUUCAGUUGAGAAGAAAUGAUUAUGGCUAAUAAUCAUAAUUGAUGACGGUAUCAACAGAAGAAGCACCGGCUAACUACGUGCCAGCAGCCGCGGUAAUACGAAGGGAGCUAGCGUUGUUCGGAAUCACUGGGCGUAAAGCGCACGUAGGUGGGCAGUUAAGUCAGGGGUGAAAGCCCGAGGCUCAACCUCGGAAUUGCCUCUGAUACUGGCUGUCUAGAGUUCGAGAGAGGUGAGUGGAAUUCCUAGUGUAGAGGUGAAAUUCGUAGAUAUUAGGAAGAACACCGGUGGCGAAGGCGGCUCACUGGCUCGAUACUGACACUGAGGUGCGAAAGCGUGGGGAGCAAACAGGAUUAGAUACCCACGUAGUCCCUGAGCGGGCUGGCAAGGCGCAU
rnacentral:rRNA from 1 species